AAAUGUGUUCUGUGGUAGCAGUGGAGCAGUUUGUGAGUGAUGCAUGGGCUCAGUGUUGAGCUUUCUUACCCUUUUCUGAGAUAAUAGGUAGAUCCUUUUUCCUGAGCUACAGAGGCAUUUAGGGGUUGUCUCCCAGACAUCUUCCCUGAUUCAUUCCGAAGAAAUUCAACAGAAUAAAUUAUCAUUCUCCCCAACCAUUUGACUGCAGCUUUGAAUAUAUAAUACAUGAAGAAUUGCUGUCCAAAUGUGCUGCUGCAUCCCACAUGGGCACAUCAAAGCUUGCUGAAAGCUCAUCUGGGUACGUCAGCAGGAGCUGCAGUUACACUUUUGACUCACAGGCUGCUAAAGAUAACUCAAGGGAUGGGAAGGGGAAUAGGUGAAUGGACUU